rnacentral:lncRNA from 1 species
UUCUUGCUGAGUGAACGUUAUUUUGACUCUGUCAUUUUCCUGCGCCAUUUCGUUUUCUUGUACACGAUGUCUGCUAAACGAACUUAUUCUGCAUCUAAUGUCCUGUUUGAAGAUCCUGACUUUCCUUUUCGGGACUCAGAUGACGAUUUAAUCGAUGAAGUGGAUCAGAUUUUUCUGGAAAAUCCUAUGGAUCUACCCUUGUAUUAUCAAGUGGGUUCCGGAUUUGAGGUAAAUAUUUAAGUAUAUCUUUA